AAAUAGUGGAGACUUAUCCUCCUGCUCCCGUCGAUGGUCGCCGCGGCCAGUGACAUUGACGACUGCCCGGGGGGGUCUGGUUAGAUCAGGCGAUGUGGUCCAUCUCGGCCAUCUUCUCGAUCCGGUCGGCCUCCAGCCUCGCCGCCGCCUGCCCUUGCCGCGCCAACGUGCCAGCCACCGCCACCCGCCAUUGCCGCACCGACGACUGCCCGGGAGAGGCUGAAUAGAUCCGGCUGGGUGGUCCGUCUCGGCCAUCUUCUGGAUCCCAUCGGCCUCCUGCCUCGCCGCCACCCGCCCUUGCCGCGCCAACGUGCCAGCCACCGCCCGCCAUUGCCGUGCCGACGAGCCAGCCGCCGCUGUCCGCCAUUGUCGCACCGACGAGUCAGCCGCUGCUUGCAGUUGCUGCACUGGACAUUCCCCGUUCCUCCCCACAUCAAUGUCAGCCAGGAGCCCAGGAGCUAGCGAUGGAUAGACGUUGGAUUCAUGGUACAUUGUUUUCUCGUGAAUACAUAGAAGGUGUCAAAGAAUUUAUGCACCUUGUUCGAGAGAAAUUCAGCGAGGAUGAUAAAAUACUCUGCCCAGGUAGAAAAUGCCUUAAUCAUAAGUACCAGCAUCAGGCCGUUGCGAACAUGCACAUAUUGACGUAUGGCAUGGAAAGUACAUAUACUCGCUGGAUAUAUCAUGGAGAAGACUUUGAUUUAGAUGUUAUUGACCAUCCUGUGGAGUGCAUGACACCGAGGAUGGUGACAAUGGCGUUGACCGGUUUGAAGAGAUGUUUGAAGACCUACGCACAGCAGUAGAACAAGCUCAAAGUGAAACUGAAAAUCAAGAUGAUAGCAAUGGUGGAAACCCUUCUGAGAAUGAGUCUUUUUUGAAGAAUGUGAUGAACGAGGCAAAACGGCAGCUUUAUCAUGGUUGUACCAAGUUUCCAAGGUUCUCCUUGUAGGAGAUAUGCCCUAGAGGCAAUAAUAAAUGUUAUUGAUUA